AAAGGUAGUUUCCGGUGAAGAAGGUGAUUUCCGGUAAACUGACUCCACGCUGUUUCCGCCGCUUACAAUGGUCGCCAUCUUCACCGCAAUAUCUUCCUGUCUGUGUCGUAGUUUCCCCACAAAUCACCGUCCUGCUCUCGUCCAUCUCGCUGCUUCCAUUUGCUCUCUGCCACAAAUUUAAAAAUAGAUACCCUUGAUUUCCGGCCGUGGCUAUUUAAUAAAGGGUAGGAACCAGUUCCAACAAAAAACAUUUCCUACUACAGUGAUGCCACUAAGUUAUUUCCAACUCUUAAAGAAGCAAUCAAGGAAGCUGAAUGGGAUGAUCUCAAGAUUUUGAAAUGAAGAGUGUUCUUAAGGUUCUACUAAAUGGAUUUUGGAUGGGCUUCAAGGAUGGUGCACUAUAUGCUAUGUUUUCAUCUUGAGUGCAAGAAGAAGUUUGAGAUCUGGAGUCUUGUAGAAGGCUAGAAGCUCAACCAGUGAGGUUUUGUGAGUAUGUGAAGAAUCUUGAGAAUCAGAGGUUGAGGUAACAUAUGAGAUGAAAGAAUUUUGGGAGCAUAUGAGAGUGUAUUUUAAGCGGGGGUCAAGUAUUGAGGAAUUAAUUCUAGCGUGCAAGAUCGGUAGAGCAUGGUCUCCAGAGGAUCAGCUACAUUUAGGGGCUUCUUUGAAGCAUGAAGAACCUCUUCACCCACAUGGGCUAACCUGGCUAGGUUAGUGAUGGAUCUAGAUUGUUUUUAGAAUCACAUUUAAUGUCUUGAUGGAGUCGGUGAAGGAUAAAGACUACACAAAAUCGUAUAUCAUUGAAAUAUUUAUCCAGGUUCUUCAAGUGUGGAUCUACUACCAUUUCCCUGAAUUUGCAGCUGGCUAUGGAGAACUUAUAGAAGAGUGAGAGUGUGAUUGGGAGAAAAGAACCAAGUGUUAUGGUAGUAGACUAAAAUCAAUCACACAUUGAUUAUGGUUCGGUGAAAAACAAAAACAAGUUGGAAAGAUGAAAGUUGCCUUCAUUUUAGCACAUGCAAAGAGUGAUCGGCUACGUAGGCUUGUUGCUACAAAACUUCUUCCAUUUUAAAGAAACAAUACGGAAAAUGUUAACCUAACCAGCCAAAACGAGGCCAUGGAUAUGACAUGUUUUCUCUAGUUGAUAGGCAAAAUGUCAAUGUUCUUGUUGAUUGGCUGAAAUUUGACCCAUAAGUCAUCCAUUCUGAUAUAUAUGAUGCUAU